rnacentral:lncRNA from 1 species
CUAAGAAGUGAUAUGAUGGAAUUCUUGGUAAGAUAUGUGUUCAGACUUGAAGAAAGAAAUGAGGCACAGAAGACCCAGUAAGUUGGCUUCUCGCUAAUUCAGACUCUAAGAUGCAAAUAUCCUACUUCUGCUUCAAAAAGAGAAAAUGGGAAUUGGAAGGAGAACACAAGUCUUAAAGAGACAAGGGAAUGAAUGCCCAUGGAAGUUUCUCCAUUUCUUCAGCCUCUCACUGCCUAGCUCCCAGCAUCAAAGAACAGCUAUGACAUAG